AUUGAACGCUGGCGGCAGGCCUAACACAUGCAAGUCGAACGGUAACAGGAAGACGCUUGCUUCUUUGCUGACGAGUGGCGGACGGGUGAGUAAUGUCUGGGGAGCUGCCUGAUGGAGGGGGUUAUCUACUGGAAACGUUAGCUAAUACCGCAUAACGUCGCCAGACCAAUGAGGGGGACCUUCGUGCCUCUUGUCAUCGGGUGUGCCCAGAUGGGAUUAGCUAGUAGGUGGGGUAACGGCUCACUUAGGCGACGAUCCCUAGCUGGUCUGAGAGGAUGACCCGCCACACUGGAACUGAGACACGGUCCAGACUCCUACGGGAGGCAGCAGUGGGGAAUAUUGCACAAUGGGCGCAAGCCUGAUGCAGCCAUGCCGCGUGUAUGAAGAAGGCCUUCGGGUUGUAAAGUACUUUCAGCGGGGAGGAAGGGAGUAAAGUUAAUACCUUUGCUCAUUGACGUUACCCGCAGAAGAAGCACCGGCUAACUCCGUG
rnacentral:rRNA from 1 species